GACUAGGGGAUCUGAGAGGAUGACCCCCCACACUGGUACUGAGACACGGACCAGACUCCUACGGGAGGCAGCAGUAAGGAAUAUUGGUCAAUGGAGGCAACUCUGAACCAGCCAUGCCGCGUGCAGGAAGACAGCCCUCUGGGUCGUAAACUGCUUUUAUUCGGGAAUAAACCACAUUACGUGUAAUGUGCUGAAUGUACCGAAGGAAUAAGGAUCGGCUAACUCCGUGCCAGCAGCCGCGGUAAUACGGAGGAUCCAAGCGUUAUCCGGAUUUAUUGGGUUUAAAGGGUGCGUAGGCGGCUUAUUAAGUCAGGGGUGAAAGACGGUGGCUCAACCAUCGCAGUGCCUUUGAUACUGAUGAGCUUGAAUACACUAGAGGUAGGCGGAAUGUGACAAGUAGCGGUGAAAUGCAUAGAUAUGUCACAGAACACCGAUUGCGAAGGCAGCUUACUAUGGUGUGAUUGACGCUGAGGCACGAAAGCGUGGGGAUCAAACAGGAUUAGAUACCCUGGUAGUCCACGCCCUAAACGAUGAAUACUCGCUGUUAGCGAUAUACAGUUAGCGGCUAAGCGAAAGCGUUAAGUAUUCCACCUGGGGAGUACGCCCGCAAGGGUGAAACUCAAAGGAAUUGACGGGGGCCCGCACAAGCGGAGGAGCAUGUGGUUUAAUUCGAUGAUACGCGAGGAACCUUACCCGGGCUUGAAAGUUAGUGAAUCAUUUAGAGAUAGAUGAGUCCGCAAGGACACGAAACUAGGUGCUGCAUGGCUGUCGUCAGCCCGUGCCGUGAGGUGUUGGGUUAAGUCCCGCAACGAGCGCAACCCCUAUGUUUAGUUGCCAGCACGUUAUGGUGGGGACUCUAAACAGACUGCCUGUGCAAACAGAGAGGAAGGAGGGGACGACGUCAAGUCAUCAUGGCCCUUACGUCCGGGGCUACACACGUGCUACAAUGGAUGGUACAGAGGGCAGCAAGCUGGCAACAGCAAGCGAAUCUCAAAAAGCCAUUCACAGUUCGGAUAGAGGUCUGCAACUCGACCUCUUGAAGUUGGAUUCGCUAGUAAUCGCGUAUCAGCAAUGACGCGGUGAAUACGUUCCCGGGCCUUGUACACACCGCCCGUCAAGCCAUGGAAGUUGGGGGUACCUAAAGUAUGUAACCGCAAGGAGCGUCCUAGGGUAAAACCGAUAACUGGGGCUAAGUCGUAACAAGGUA
rnacentral:rRNA from 1 species